rnacentral:tRNA from 1 species
UGCGGAGUAGCUCAAUGGUAGAGCAGCCGGCUGUUAACCGGAAGGUUCUGAGGGUUCGAGUCCCUCCUCCGCAGCCA